rnacentral:rRNA from 1 species
CCAAGGCAACGAUGCGUAGCCGACCUGAGAGGGUGAUCGGCCACACUGGGACUGAGACACGGCCCAGACUCCUACGGGAGGCAGCAGUAGGGAAUCUUCCGCAAUGGACGAAAGUCUGACGGAGCAACGCCGCGUGAGUGAUGAAGGCUUUCGGGUCGUAAAACUCUGUUGUUAGGGAAGAACAAGUGCUAGUUGAAUAAGCUG